CUGGCUCAGGACGAACGCUGGCGGCGUGCCUAAUACAUGCAAGUCGAACGGUCUUUCUAUGGAAGCUUGCUUCCACUGAAAAGAUAGUGGCGAACGGGUGAGUAACACGUGGGUAACCUGCCCAUAAGAGGGGGAUAACAUCCGGAAACGGGUGCUAAUACCGCAUAGUUUUCUUGAUCGCAUGAUCGGGAAAGGAAAGACGGCCUUUGUGCUGUCGCUUAUGGAUGGACCCGCGGCGUAUUAGUUAGUUGGUGAGGUAACGGCUCACCAAGACGAUGAUACGUAGCCGACCUGAGAGGGUGAUCGGCCACAUUGGGACUGAGACACGGCCCAAACUCCUACGGGAGGCAGCAGUAGGGAAUCUUCCGCAAUGGACGAAAGUCUGACGGAGCAACGCCGCGUGAGUGAAAGAAGGUUUUCGGAUCGUAAAACUCUGUUGUCAGAGAAGAACAAGUUGGAGAGUAACUGCUCCAGCCUUGACGGUAUCUGACCAGAAAGCCACGGCUAACUACGUGCCAGCCGCCGC
rnacentral:rRNA from 1 species